rnacentral:lncRNA from 1 species
AUUUAAAAAAUAAAAAAAAUAAUUAAAAUAAUCUUUUCAUCUAUCGUCUCUAGGUCUAAGACUCUCUUAGGAUUCUCAUCUUUAGAACUUCUCUCUUUCUUCAUCUUUUCUUCUUCUUCUCUCCCUCUUCCUUAAAAAAAAAAAUUAGAAGGGGAUUGUUCUGAUCUAGACCUCUUGAAAUCAAUUAGAAUAAUUUGAUAAAUUAGAUCUGUGCUAGGAAUAUGAAUUUCUAUAGU